GGGUAUGAGCAUAGAAUUUAAAGUUCUAAGUAAGUUUUGUAGUAUUGAGUUUGUUUCGAGGACGAAACUCUUUUAAGGUAGGGAGGAUGUAAGGAAGUAAAUUCUCGAAAUCCGAGGAUUAGACUUCGUUUAUAAUCGACUAAUUGUCGAGGGAAUAAGCUUCGGGAAGUCCGGAGGUGAUUAAAAUGCAUGAAGUGCAUUAAGGAAGGGUCCGCGAGAGUAG
rnacentral:lncRNA from 1 species